UUAAACGAAGCAGAGCGUACGGUGGAUGUCUUGGCAUAUAGAGCAGAAGAAGGACGCAGAAAACGGCGAAACGCCUCGGGGAGUCGUACACAGACAACGAUCCGGGGGUAUCCGAAUGGGGAAACCCAGUCAUGCGGAAAUGCGUGGCUAUCCACAACUGAAUACAUAGGUUGCGAGAAGAAAACCCAGGGAAUUGAAACAUCUCAGUACCUGGAGGAGAAGAAAACAAAAGUGAUUCCGAAAGUAGUGGCGAGCGAAAUCGGAAGAGCCCAAACCAGUCUUGAACUGGGGUAGUAGGACCAGAAUGUGCUACUUCAAGAGAUAGUCGAAUGAGAUUGAAAGCUCAGUCAAAGAAGGUGCAAACCCUGUAGACGAAAUUUCGAGAAGAGCUACUGGCAUCCUGAGUACGUCGGGGCACGUGGAACCCUGACGGAAGCAACCGGGACCAUCCGGUAAGGCUAAAUACUCCUAUAUGACCGAUAGUGAACCAGUACCAUGAGGGAAAGAUGAAAAGAACCGCGGGAGCGGAGUGAAAUAGAACCUGAAACCAUAUGCUUACAACAAGUCAGAGCACAUUAAGGUGUGAUGGCGUGCCUUUUGUAGAAUGAACCGGCGAGUUAUCCUUGCAUGCGAGGUUAAGUAGACAAUACGGAGCCGAAGCGAAAGCGAAUCUGAAAAGGGUGAAGAGUAUGCAGGGAUAGACCCGAAGCCGUUGUGAUCUAGUCAUGAGCAGGUUGAAGGUUGGGUGAAACCAACUGGAGGACCGAACCGACCCCCGUUGAAAAGUUGGCGGAUGACUUGUGAUUAGCGGAGAAAUUCCAAUCGAACACGGCGAUAGCUGGUUCUCCCCGAAAUAGCUUUAGGGCUAGCGUUGAGCGAAUCAUCAUGGAGGUAGAGCACUGAAUUCAUGCGGGCGGCAUCUAGCCGUACCAAAUGAAAUCAAACUCCGAAUGCCAUGAAUGAAUACUCAGCAGUCAGACUGUGGGUGAUAAGGUCCAUGGUCAAAACGGAAACAGCCGAGAUCAUCAGAUAAGGUCCCAAAAUCUAUGCUAAGUGGAAAAGGAUGUGGAGACGCGCAAACAGCUAGGAGGUUGGCUUAGAAGCAGCCAUCCUUCAAAGAGUGCGUAACAGCUCACUAGUCGAGUAUCUCUGCGCCGAAAAUUAACCGGGGCUAAGCAUAGUACCGAAUCUAUGGAUUUAUAUUACAAAUAUAAGUGGUAGGGGAGCGUUCCAAACAGCGUUGAAGGCAUACCGUAAGGAGUGCUGGAGCGUUUGGAAGUGAGAAUGCCGGUGUGAGUAGCGAGAUGUAGGUGAGAAUCCUACACACCGAUAGACCAAGGUUUCCAGGGGAAGGUUCGUCCGCCCUGGGUUAGUCGGGAACUAAGGCGAGGCCGAAAGGCGUAGUCGAUGAACAGCAGGUUGAUAUUCCUGCACCCACGUAUUAAAUGAUGGAGUGACAGACAAGGUUAGUUAGAGCCCUUACUGGAUUGGGCAAGACGUGUGAAUAGAUGGUAUAUAGGAAAAUCCGUAUACGGAAAUCAAGACACGGCUCGAGUGAACACGCGAGUAAGUAAUGAAGAAAAUGAUACCAGGUCUCAAGAAAAGCUUCUAGUGUUAAUUAAUAAGUGGCCCGUACCUAAACCGACACAGGUGGUCAAGGCGAGUAGCCUAAGGUGAGCGAGAGAACUGUUGCCAAGGAACUCGGCAAAUUGAUCCCGUACGUUAGCUAUAAGGGAUGCUCGAAAGAGCCGCAGUGAAAAGGCCCUAGCAACUGUUUAACUAAAACAUAGCUCUCUGCUAAGUCGCAAGACGAUGUAUAGGGGGUGACACCUGCCCGGUGCUGGAAGGUCAAAAGGAUGAGUUAGGAGCAAUCCGAAGCUUUGAAUUGAAGCCCCAGUGAACGGCGGCCGUAACUAUAACGGUCCUAAGGUAGCGAAAUUCCUUGUCAGGUAAG
rnacentral:rRNA from 1 species